GACCCCUUGGUCAAGUGGUUAAGACAUCGCCCUUUCACGGCGGUAACAUGGGUUCGAAUCCCGUAGGGGUCA
rnacentral:tRNA from 1 species